rnacentral:rRNA from 1 species
AGGGAAUCUUCCACAAUGGACGCAAGUCUGAUGGAGCAACGCCGCGUGAGUGAAGAAGGUUUUCAGACCGUAAAGCUCUGUUGUUGGUGAAGAAGGAUAGAGGUAGUAACUGGCCUUUAUUUGACGGUAAUCAACCAGAAAGUCACGGCUAACUACGUGCCAGCAGCCGCGGUAAUACGUAGGUGGCAAGCGUUGUCCGGAUUUAUUGGGCGUAAAGCGAGCGCAGGCGGAAGAAUAAGUCUGAUGUGAAAGCCCUCGGCUUAACCGAGGAAUUGCAUCGGAAACUGUUUUUCUUGAGUGCAGAAGAGGAGAGUAGAACUCCAUGUGUAGCGGUGGAAUGCGUAGAUAUAUGGAAGAAUACCAGUGGCGAAGGCGGCUCUCUGGUCUGCAACUGACGCUGAGGCUCGAAAGCAUGGGUAGCGAACAGGAUUAGAUACCCUGGUAGUCCAUGCCGUAAACGAUGAGUGCUAAGUGUUGGGAGGCUUCCGCCUCUCAGUGCUGCAGCUAACGCAUUAAGCACUCCGCCUGGGGGAGUACGACCGCAAGGUUGAAAC